CAUAUACACGGCAGCCGCCGACCCUAGUCGGCUCUAUCGUUCUCUCUUCACGCAUCGCUUGGUCAACGGACGGCAGCGGCAAACAUGCAACUGCAGAUCGGCAACGGCAAGCCAACAAUUCUAGUCCUAAUGUGAGGCUAAAAGAUCGAGAAAUGAUGCUCUGAAAUGUGAGUGACUUCAUGUGGCACAAGCUCUAGCAGCCAAGUACAAGUUCCUUGUGAAUAUGCCAAUGGCUGAAGAUGGAGAUCAUGUUAUUCUUUCCGAUGAUGAAGAUGGACAGGAGGAGGAGGUGAAAGAGGUCAAUGAAGCAGGCAAACAGAAGCUAACUUCUAAAGUUUGGUUGGAAAUGAAAAAGAUUAGGAUCAAUGGGCAAUGGAAGGCAAGGUGUAACUAUUGUCACAAGGAACUUACUUCAGGACCCAGAGCAGGCACGAAGCAUCUUGCUGAACAUCUAAAGAUUUGCACUCUCAAGAUGUUGAAGACGAAGGGAGGGAAAACAUUGUGUCAGCCAUCAUUGAUGAUGGAUGCUAAGGAGGAUGGUAACAUUUCUUUAGAGACCUAUACUUUUGAUCAAGAGGUUGCUAGAAGAGGGUUUGGUAACAUGUUGGUGUUGCAUGAGUAUCCACUGUCUAUAGUGGACCAUGCUGGUUUUAGGAAAAUUUGUUCGUGCACUUCAGCCAGUAUUCAAGCUACAUACCAGAAAUACUAUUAGGCAAGAUAUUGUGGAAAAUUACAAGCAAGAAAGAAAGAAGGCAAUUGAUUACAUGACUAUGAACCAAUCUAGGGUUGCUAUCACUACAGAUAUGUGGACUGUUGACCACCAAAAGAAGGGCUAUAUGGCUAUUACAGAUCAUUUCAUUGAUGAUUCUUGGAAGCUUCGAAGCGUUAUCAUGAGGAACUUGGCUUUUCAGAGCGUCUAGAUGGUGCAUAUCUAUCAGAAUUGUUGGACCAUUCAUGCUAGGGUCUUGUGGAAGGCCCAAACGAAGGAGAAUGCAAUGAGGAACGUUUACCUUCAGUGUAUACUACUGGAUCAGGAUGUAAGGAAACAAAAAUGGAAGCGAUCGCAUACAACAACCAAGCAUUUCGCUUCAACACCAUGCUUCAAACCGGCAUGACAUAUGACUUUAUUCGCAUCGGGUUCAACCCCACGGAAAUACCAGAUGGACAUUUCUGGUAUCUAGCCAUGGAGUUUGUCAUCACACUAAAUGCUAGGACCGAGGUUAGGAUGUCGGCGCACAUGAUAGCAUCAACAAUUUGUCCACCGUGCUUCCCACAGUUUGGGGCCAUGUUCUCGCUACGGGACAAAAGCACCACUGGUGCAUCAUCUUUAACUUUGUUCUUGCAUAUUACUCCAUACAACUCAGUGUCUCAUUCUUAUUAAAUUUUUGUAGAUGUUGUUGCUAUUCUUGCCUACAUUGGUAAGAUACAACAUCAAUGGGAUUCAAUAUAUAGACGACACGCCCUUUUCUUCGAGAUUGGCCUCCUUAACUUUCGGUAAGUUUGAGGAGAUGGCUAAGUUCAAAAAAGUUAAAAUAACAAGAAAGUUGAUUCUUGAUUGCAAAACUAGGUGGAACUCCACUUUCAUGAUGCUAGAAGCAGCUUGACCAUACAGAGUUGUUUUCAACCGUGCAAAUAAAAUUGAGAAACAAUAUGAGCAUUUACCUAGUGCAAAAAGAAUGGGACUUUACUGCAGAGAUGGUGGAGACUUGGAUUAUUGUACGAGAUAACUAAGUUGUUCUCGGGAACUGAUUAUGUGAAGUCUAAUAUUUACUUCCCUAAAAUCUGUGAGAUUAAAAUGAAAAUGAGACAGUGGGCCGCUUCUAGCAAUCCAGUUAUAAAAAAAAGGAAAUGACUGCUAAAUUUGAUAAGUAUUGGAGGACAUUCAAGAUAUAAUGGGGGAUGGCUACACUUCUUGAUCCUUGUUACAAGAGGCAUAUGUUGACAGCUUGCUUUGCCAUGCUGCAUGGAAUUGAUCCAUCUUCUUAUGAGUGUGUGGAAUUGGUUGAUGUAUUAGUUGCUAGACUGCAUUCAUUCAUAGAGGAGUAUGAAGUGGAAGCAGAUGAAUAUAGACCAUGUGAACUGAUUUCUUCAGAGAAAGCUCCAACCAUCAUGAACAUCUUAAAUGACAUUGUUGCCAAGCAAAGUCCUGCAGCAGCUCGGCUACAAGGUGAAAUAGAUAUGUACUUGACAGAUGGCCUAGUGCCAUACACAGAAGUAUUUAGUGUGCUGGAUUGGUGGAAAGUAGUUGGAACAAGAUAUCCAACAUUAAUGAAGGUCGCCAGGGAUAUUUUUGCUAUUCCCGUGACAACAGUUGCUUCAGAGUCGGCCUUUAGUACAAGUGGCGGAAUACUUAGUGAGCAUAGGAGCCGCCUAACUCCUAAUAUGGUGGAAGUUUUGAUGUGCUCCCAAGAUUGGCUUAGAAACAAACAAAAAGAAAGGAGAUGUUAGCUUUUGGACUUGCCUUCAAGACAUUCAAGAGGGGAUGGACUUGGCCCUUUGAGACGUAGAGACAUGGUCUCGUCGAGUUAUACUCAAGACUGAAGACUUAUUGCGCUACUGGAUUGAUCGAGUUUUGAACUUGUUACAAUGUCGAAACUUUAUUGUGAUGCUUAAUUUGUGGCCUUAUGUAUGGCUAAAUUACCUCCAUACUUUGUCGUGAGUUUGUGAACUUAAAAUAAAUGACUAUGCAUUGUUGUUUAUGAGUGUGUUGAUGUUUUUAUGUGUUGUUGUCUAUGCGUAAGUGAUGCUAUAUGGGAAUAUGUUACUGUUUACGAAGUACGAUGUGUUGCUGUC